rnacentral:rRNA from 1 species
GACGAACGCUGGCGGCGUGCUUAACACAUGCAAGUCGAACGGUGAACCUCUUCGGAGGGGAUCAGUGGCGAACGGGUGAGUAACUCGUGGGCAACCUGCCCCCGGCUCUGGGAUAACUCCAAGAAAUUGGGGCUAAUACCGGAUGUUCACCGCUUCCCGCAUGGGUGGUGGUGGAAAGGGUUUCCGGCUGGGGAUGGGCCCGCGGCCUAUCAGCUUGUUGGUGGGGUAGUGGCCUACCAAGGCGACGACGGGUAGCCGGCCUGAGAGGGUGACCGGCCACACUGGGACUGAGACACGGCCCAGACUCCUACGGGAGGCAGCAGUGGGGAAUAUUGCGCAAUGGGCGGAAGCCUGACGCAGCGACGCCGCGUGGGGGAUGACGGCCUUCGGGUUGUAAACCUCUUUCAGCAGGGACGAAGCGCAAGUGACGGUACCUGCAGAAGAAGCACCGGCCAACUACGUG